GAUGAACGCUAGCGACAGGCCUAACACAUGCAAGUCGAGGGGCAGCAUGGUAUCAGCUUGCUGAUACCGAUGGCGACCGGCGCACGGGUGAGUAACGCGUAUGUAAUCUGCCUGUAACAGAGGGAUAACCCGGAGAAAUCCGGCCUAAUACCUCAUAGCACAUAUUAUUCGCAUGAGUUUUAUGUUAAAGAGACUCGGUUACAGAUGAACAUGCGUUCCAUUAGCUGGUUGGCGGGGUAACGGCCCACCAAGGCAACGAUGGAUAGGGGUUCUGAGAGGAAGGUCCCCCACACUGGUACUGAGACACGGACCAGACUCCUACGGGAGCAGCAGUGAGGAAUAUUGGUCAAUGGGCGAGAGCCUGAACCAGCCAAGUCGCGUGGAGGAAGACUGCCCUACGGGUUGUAAACUCCUUUUACCUGGGAAUAACGGGGCGCUACGCGUAGCGCUGUGCAUGUACCGGGAGAAUAAGCAUCGGCUAAUCCGUG
rnacentral:rRNA from 1 species